rnacentral:rRNA from 1 species
GAUGAACGCUAGCGGGAGGCCUAACACAUGCAAGCCGAGCGGUAUUGUUUCUUCGGAAAUGAGAGAGCGGCGUACGGGUGCGGAACACGUGUGCAACCUGCCUUUAUCUGGGGGAUAGCCUUUCGAAGGGAAGAUUAAUACUCCAUAAUAUAUUGAUUGGCAUCAAUUAAUAUUGAAAGCUCCGGCGGAUAGAGAUGGGCACGCGCAAGAUUAGCUAGUUGGUGAGGUAACGGCUCACCAAGGCGAUGAUCUUUAGGGGGCCUGAGAGGGUGAUCCCCCACACUGGUACUGAGACACGGACCAGACUCCUACGGGAGGCAGCAGUGAGGAAUAUUGGUCAAUGGGUGCAAGCCUGAACCAGCCAUCCCGCGUGAAGGACGACUGCCCUAUGGGUUGUAAACUUCUUUUGUAUAGGGAUAAACCUACCCUCGUGAGGGUAGCUGAAGGUACUAUACGAAUAAGCACCGGCUAACUCCGUGCCAGCCGCCGCGGUAAAAC